UACAGAGGUCCCAAGCGUUGUUCGGAUUCACUGGGCGUAAAGGGUGCGUAGGUGGCGAGGUAAGUCGGAUGUGAAAGCUCGGAGCUCAACUCCGAAAUGGCAUUGGAAACUACCUUGCUCGAGGGUUGGAGGGGGGACUGGAAUGCUUGGUGUAGCAGUGAAAUGCGUAGAUAUCAAGCGGAACACCAGUGGUGAAGGCGAGUCCCUGGACAACUCCUGACACUGAGGCACGAAAGCUAGGGGAGCAAACAGG
rnacentral:rRNA from 1 species